rnacentral:rRNA from 1 species
AGUGGGGAAUAUUGGACAAUGGGCGCAAGCCUGAUCCAGCAAUGCCGCGUGAGUGAUGAAGGCCCUAGGGUUGUAAAGCUCUUUUACCCGGGAAGAUAAUGACUGUACCGGGAGAAUAAGCCCCGGCUAACUCCGUGCCAGCAGCCGCGGUAAUACGGAGGGGGCUAGCGUUGUUCGGAAUUACUGGGCGUAAAGCGCACGUAGGCGGCUUUGUAAGUCAGAGGUGAAAGCCUGGAGCUCAACUCCAGAACUGCCUUUGAGACUGCAUCGCUUGAAUCCAGGAGAGGUCAGUGGAAUUCCGAGUGUAGAGGUGAAAUUCGUAGAUAUUCGGAAGAACACCAGUGGCGAAGGCGGCUGACUGGACUGGUAUUGACGCUGAGGUGCGAAAGCGUGGGGAGCAAA